GACGAACGCUGGCGGCGUGCCUAUACAUGCAAGUCGAACGAGGUUUGGUCAGUUUGCGGUGGUGCUUGCAUCACCAAUUACCGAUCAAACCGAGUGGCGGACGGGUGAGUAACACGUGGGUAACCUGCCCUUCAGCGGGGGAUAACAUUUGGAAACAGAUGCUAAUACCGUAUAACCACGGAGACCGCAUGGUCUCCGGGUAAAAGAUGGCGCAAGCUAUCACUGAAGGAUGGACCCGCGGCGUAUUAGCUAGUUGGUGAGGUAAAGGCUCACCAAGGCAGUGAUACGUAGCCGACCUGAGAGGGUGAUCGGCCACAUUGGGACUGAGACACGGCCCAAACUCCUACGGGAGGUAGCAGUAGGGAAUCUUCCACAAUGGGCGCAAGCCUGAUGGAGCAACACCGCGUGAGUGAAGAAGGGUUUCGGCUCGUAAAGCUCUGUUGUUAAAGAAGAACACGUAUGAGAGUAACUGUUCAUACGUUGACGGUAUUUAACCAGAAAGUCACGGCUAACUACGUGCCAGCAGCCGCGGUAAUACGUAGGUGGCAAGCGUUAUCCGGAUUUAUUGGGCGUAAAGAGAGUGCAGGCGGUUUUCUAAGUCUGAUGUGAAAGCCUUCGGCUUAACCGGAGAAGUGCAUCGGAAACUGGAUAACUUGAGUGCAGAAGA
rnacentral:rRNA from 1 species